rnacentral:siRNA from 1 species
AUGCUAACACUGGUGUACUCGU